AUGGCCUGGACAGUUCUCCUGCUCACGCUCCUCUUUCACUGCACAGGGUCCCUCUCCCAGACUGUGCUGACUCAGGAGCCCUCAGUCUCAGCAUCUCCUGGAACAACAGUCAAACUCACCUGCACCCUGAAAAGUGGUAUCAGUGUUGGCAGUUAUAGAAUAAACUGGUAUCAACAGAAGACUGGGAACUUUCCCAGGUUUCUCCUUAGUUACUACACAAGUACAGAGUUGGGAUCUGGAGUUUCCAAACGCUACUCUGGAUCCAAAGACACCUCAGGCAAUGCGGGACUGCUGCACAUCUCUGGGCUGCAGACUGAGGAUGAGGCUGACUAUUACUGUAUGACUUGGUACAGUAAUGCUUAUCACAGUAAUAGAGGCAGAUGA